rnacentral:misc_RNA from 1 species
GAUGAAGAACGUAGCGAAAUGCGAUAACUAGUGUGAAUUGCAGAAUUCCGUGAAUCAUCGAGUCUUUGAACGCACAUUGCGCCCCCUGGUAUUCCGGGGGGCAUGCCUGUCCGAGCGUCAUUGCUGCCCAUCAAGCACGGCUUGUGUGUUGGGUCGUCGUCCCCCCCUCCGGGGGGGGACGGGCCCUAAAGGCAGCGGCGGCACCGCGUCCGAUCCUCGAGCGUAUGGGGCUUUGUCACCCGCUCUGUAGGCCCGGCCGGCGCUUGUCGAACGCAAAACAACCAUUCUUUCCAGGUUGACCUCGGAUCAGGUAGGGAUACCCGCUGAACUUAAGCAUAUCAAUAAGCGGAGGA